GCGUUAAAUGAGAAAUGGCGCUAUAACUUACUUUCCUAACAGAUCACAUGCUCCGUAAAGCUGGAAAAUGUCGACUGAAUGACACUGGUUAGGCAAGUUUUGCAAAGUUAUCCGAAGAAGUCGUUUUUUUACGUAGCAGCAAAGCAAGACAGUGAAGUCAACCCCAUGGGAAACCAAAUUUUUUUUCCUUUUAAUUUUAUUAAAGUUGGCCUUACGUAUUACUUUUUAUGCUGAAAACAAACUCAUAUAUAUGCAAAAACUUUUUAAAUAAAAAUAAAUAAUUAUAUAUUUCCAAAAAAUAAAAAAAACAACUGAAAACAGCGAAUUUUGAACUUACUUUUCACUUAAAUGCAGCAUCAAGGAUCAAUUGUUUUAACGGUUUACAUUUUAUGAGUGGAACUUCUAUACUUUAUAUUUGCUCAUAUCGAAUCCUUUUAUUUCCGGAGUAAUUUAUUAAUUUACGAAUUUGCAUUUAAAUUGUUCGUUUACACGUGAAGACGAAUUGGCUGAACACGUCCUCAUUUGUAUUAUAAAAUGGUUUUUAUGAUCAGCGAUAAAAUUAAUUACUAAAAUGACACUAUUGUAUAAAUGAAUUUAUAGAGACGUGAAAUAAAAAUUAAUCUUGUUAAAUAAUUGUAUUAUCUUUUAAUGGUAAUUAAUGGUUAUUUAUGGGUAGGAUAAAUUUUUAUCAUAAAAAAAACUAACAUAGUUAAUUGUACUGUAUAUACAUUAUUAUAAUUAAUUGUUUUGUAAUAUAGUAAUUGUA